rnacentral:misc_RNA from 1 species
AAGUCGUAACAAGGUUUCCGUAGGUGAACCUGCGGAAGGAUCAGUAGAGAUUGCCGGCGCAAGCCGGUCCUACACCACACACACCCGUGAACCGUCGGGGACAGCGAAUCGGCUUCACGCCUUAAUAGCGCCCGCACCUGGAGUCAGCGAAUUGGCUUUAUGCCUUAAUAGCGUCCGUUUACAAACUCUUAGAAACGUAACGAACGUAGUCUUAUUUUAACAAAUAAAA